AUUGAACGCUGGCGGAAUGCUUUACACAUGCAAGUCGAACGGUAGAGGGGGCAACCCCUUGAGAGUGGCGAACGGGUGAGUAAUAUAUCGGAACGUGCCCAGUCGUGGGGGAUAACGUAGCGAAAGUUACGCUAAUACCGCAUACGAUCUAUGGAUGAAAGCGGGGGACCGUAAGGCCUCGCGCGAUUGGAGCGGCCGAUAUCAGAUUAGGUAGUUGGUGGGGUAAAGGCUCACCAAGCCAACGAUCUGUAGCUGGUCUGAGAGGACGACCAGCCACACUGGAACUGAGACACGGUCCAGACUCCUACGGGAGGCAGCAGUGGGGAAUAUUGGGCAAUGGACGCAAGUCUGACCCAGCCAUGCCGCGUGCAGGAUGAAGGCGUUAUGCGUUGUAAACUGCUUUAUACAGGAAGAAACGACUCUUGCGAGAGGCAUUGACGGUACUGUAUGAAUAAGCACCGGCUAACUCCGUGCCAGCAGCC
rnacentral:rRNA from 1 species